AAGAAGUCAGCCUUUCAGCUUUAGGAAAAAUGGCAAAACAUGUGCAGCAAGGUCGAAUUGGAGCACUUACAACAUGAUAUUCUACAGGCCUUGCAAACUUUAUUCAUGGCCCACUUUAGAAUUGACAUUCUGAAAAUGCUCAAACCCGAAAGUUGAGUAGGAGUUGUAUUGGGCUAAUAGCCUUUGGACAGCCUUUGGUGGACUCUGAAAAAUCCAGUCGCAUAAACCUAAAGCACUCCAAUAAAUUUACCAAACGCCACUUGCAUGCUCAAGACCUUUGGAGCUCAAAAACCUAUUUGUAAGUCCAACCAAACACAGCCUACAAAAGCACCCAUCCUGAACAUGCAGAAGUCCAGCCCAAAGGCCACAUCUAGAGGUCUCACUCAAUGUGGUGCCUCCGCUAACCAAACAGCAGAACGUGAAACUUUUCUCCUCAACUGCCGAUUCACUCUAUUAAUGUUCAUUAAGUUGUGACCUUAAAUGAAUUAGGUUUUUGGGUGCCCUUCAAGUAAAGGGAGGCAAAGUAACUUGAAAGAGACAGUCGGAGUUACAUCUCUUUUCCAUUGCCAUUCAAGAGUUCUUAUUUGUUUCCAUGCGCUUUUGAGACCUCGAAAAACGGACUCCAAAAUCCCAAUUAAACAUUGAGGUCAACCCUAUAAAGAGACAUCCUAAAGGGGAAAAUAAUCUUACAUUUAAGCUCCGUUCAUUUCGCAGAAAAUAAUUUCCAGGAAAACAUUUUCCGGAUUUUCCGGCGUUCAUUUCAUGGAAAAUGAAUUCCUUGAGGAAAUCAUUUUCCAUAAAAGGAAAAAAGUAUUCUCAAUUAGGGGAAAAUGUCUUCCACUUUUGAAAAGUGGAAAACAUUUUCUUCACUUGAUCUAUCUUAUCUCACACUUCUACAAAUCCUCACUUCCUCCUCCCCAUUCUUCUUCUUUUUUUCUUUUUCUAUUCCAAUUAUUUUUAAUUUUCUUUUUAUUUUUUAAUUCAAGUUAAUUUUUAAUUUUAAUUUUCUUUUUCUAUUUCUUUUUUCUUUUCUUUGUUUCCCAGCUUCUUCUUUCUUAGCUAGUCGUUGGCCACGGUGAUGGCUGGCGGCUAGCCACAGGCGAGCCUCAAGCUCGUCGGCCAUGAGCUCGUGCUUGCCGAUUUGGUGAGCCUUAACCUCAUUGGACUCAGGCGUUGCCAGAUCGGCAAGCCUUGUGCUUGUCGGCAAGCUUGAGGCUCGCCUAUGGCCGGUUGCUGGCCAUCGCCAUGGUCGGCGAUCGGCCAAGAAAGAAGAAGAUGGAAAACAAAGAAAAGAAUAAACAAAAAGAAAAUUAAAAUGAAAAUGAAAAAAAUAAUUGAAUAAUCGAUUUUAAAAAAUAAAAAUAAUUAAAAAUCGAUUUUAAAUAUAUGAAAAAUCCAUUUUUUAAAAAUAAAAUAAAUAAAUGAAAAAGAAUAUAUGGAGGAAAAUAUUUUCCUUACUUAACAGCGAAAAAUAUUUUCACUUCAUUUUCAGGUUUCAUUCGAAUAUUGAAAAAUAAUUACAUUUUCCACGAAACGAACGGAGCCUUAUAGUUGAGAGAUUUACACAAAAUCUAGUCUUUGGUCCAUUUCCUAGCAACGACCCAUGUUGUUCUAGAAAAACAAUCUCACAUAUUCAUAGUUGGAAGAUUCACUCAGAAUCUAGUCUUUGGUCCAUUUCCUAGGCUUUGAUGAAAACCCAUGUUGUUCUAGAAAUUGCCACAGCCUUGUUUUUUUAAUCAAAUCCCAAAUGAGUCUUGUGAUAAGGAAGAGGAAUUGGGUAAGAGUCAUGGACAGCUUUCGACAAGUAGCUAAACUAGAGAUAGCUAACGAAAGAUUAGGCGGCUUCACACCCUAUACUUCCAAAUCCUAAGUCCUCACUCACCAAAACCCAGAACACUCUUUGAGCUUUGGAUCCUAUAGGAUCUGAUUUUGUCGUUAUCUUUCUUUCUUUUUCUCAUAAAAGGCUCACAUAACCCCAGCAUGGUUAGCCGAGGUGUUUAGGACUAGUCUUUCGCAACGAAAGUAGUAUAGAUUUGCUUCUCGAGUCUAUCCUCGAUCUUAAAAAAUCUUGGUAAAUAGCAAAGGACGAACUUCAACUCGGAUGUAUCACUUUUGAUAUUCUUACUCUCAUUGUGUUGCGCCAAGGGUGACAGCUGCUUAGUGGACAAUGGUGUGCGACUUAAUCUACAACCUUAAAUUGAACAUUCUCCUACAAGUGACUUAUACAUUGCUAACAUUAGACACAUUUUCAAGUGAUUGAAAAAUAAAAGGAACACGCAAUGCAUACAAAAAAAAAAAGGUACAAUGUUUAAUUAAGAAAAGAAUAGCGUGAUUUGAAUUAUUCUAGAAUGUAAAUUAUAUUUUUGUUAAAUGACCAAGAUUCAAUCUAAAUAUAGGAUUGAACAAAAGACUUAUGGGAUUACAUGAGUCUUUGUUGCCUCUGUUUUGUCCAUUAAUCUAUAAAAUAUGUCAUUAUUCUUCUUAUAUGAAGCAGAAUUUCUUGUGAAGCUGGUAAUGGAAAAUGAAUAGAAUUGUGUUGGUGUGUUUGCUUAAGUGAAAUUUUUUCCCGUAAGUUUAAUUUUCUACACUUUCGCGUGUUUGGGUCUAUUAAAAAUAACUAGUCAUCGGAAAAACCAUUUACGACUAAAGAGAAUAUGCAUGGUUAAUAAUACUUAGAAAAAUUGAAUUUCCUAUCUUGAAGAAGGAAACUCCUUUUUUUUUGAAAAAUAAUUUUUUUGGAAAGUAUUUUUCUUUAUCAUGAAGUUUUCUUCUAAAUGAAUAAACUUUGUAGUAUCAACGUAAAUACACUGCAUCAUCGAGAGAUAACGCAUUGCGUUUAAUUAUGUAUUCUAGCAAUUAUCAAAUAAGCAAUGAAAACGCCAAUGGCAAUUGAUUAUCGACCUGAUCAAUGCAAAACCUUCCUCUAUAAUUUUGUCUGUCCAUAUAUAUAUAUAUAUAUAUAUAUAUAUGUAUGUAUGUAUGUAUGUAUGUAUGUAUGUAUGUAUGUAUGUAUACACAUUCUUUUAUUAUCUAACAUAUGUUGAUACAAUGCCAUGUAAUAGAGUAAUGAUGACAAAAUCCAGUGGAAGACUAGUCAGUCGUUAAUUAGCGCCACACCCCUAACCAUGUAAAUAUUUAUUUAACAAAAACACUAAAAAUAAUGCUCUUAUUUUUCCUUAAUAUUGGGAAACUUCCACUUGUAAAGAUUAGAAAGGAAUCACUAGUUUUGGGACAACCUAGGAACCGAGAAUUGGACUAAGCAAGGUCAGUUCGCUGUGGAUUUGGCUCAGACUGAGUGGGCUGGUUCUUGAUUCCAUAAUUUGAGAAUUCACCCUACCUGGUCUGGUUCUAGGUUCUAGAGUAAGAACUGAUCGACCUUAGACCGAUCAUCUCUAGUCGCAUCUAAAUUGCUAAACUACGUUGAUUUAGGUAAAACAUUGAAUAUUAUGACAAGCAAUAACAAUUUUGCAAAUACUUUGGACUUUGCAAAGUUAAAAGUAAAUAAGAUAACAAGGUGAAGAUAGGUGUAUGCUUUUUGCGACGUUGUCAAAAUUGGUUUUUGGGCAUGACAUUACAAUUGAUAUAUCCUUAAUGGCAGUGGACGUGAUAAAAGGAAAAAAAUAAAAAUAAAAUAUAGAAUAGAUAACGAUCACUUUCCUUCCGUUUUGAUUAGUCUUACUCUGGUUUCCUCCCAGCCAAUUAAAUUGCUACCUAACAUACUCUUCAGCCAAAGGGCCUGCUCGGUGAAUAUGAGGCAGUGGUCAAAUGAAUUAGCAAUAUUUCAGGAAAAUUUCACAAUUGGAUAAAAAGCAAAUAAAAUAAGGAUGGUCCAGACUUUUAUAUUUGUUGAGCAGGUGAGAUCUGCUGCAUUUCAAUCCGAUAUUAAAGAUUACAAGGACGUUGCGUUCAGUGGAGACCAUAGCCUGACCCUUUUUCACGGGUGAGUCUAUGGUUCCUCCCGGGCACCGUGCUGUCUUCACAGACCUUCACUAUCGGAUCAAAAGGCAAAAAAUCACUAUCUUCUAGGGGGAGUUUGGUACAUUUCAAUUCAGCAGUGAACGAAUGUAAGAGCAUCGGGUCCCGUGAAAGCUAAAGCCUAGCCCCUCUUCUACUAUAAUUGAUGGGGAAAACGAAAGCGGACAAUAGUGCUAGGAAAACGUGACACGCGUGAAGAGUUUAUUUCUCUUUAUUUCCUUUCGACUCUCAAUUAUAGAACAAGAUAAGAAGUGGGUCCAAAAGGAGACUCUUGUCGGCACUUCCGUUCUUUCUUUCUGGCGUCCAGAAGAACGAUACGUGCAAGAGAACCUAAGCACAGUUCCUCCUCCUCGCAUUGCUGUCUCAUGCCUUAUCAUUCGUCCAAGAGGUGUUCAUUUGGGAAAUGUGUAAGGAUUUGAGCAACACCGAGUUUAAAUUCCUUCUGAUUCUUAACUAAGUUUACCUUGGUUAGCAUUCGCUCAACUUUCAUUUCCUCUGCAUUUUAAUCUAUUGUAGGGCACACCCACCAUGAACAAGCAACUCCAUAGUCUCAUGUUCAGUUUUUCAUGAAUGAAAUCUGCAGCUAUACCUGAACGAGAGAUUGGAAACUCGAGCCUUUAUGAUUCAAUAUAAUCUACCCAGCCGAGUAAUUUACUCCAGUGUUUUGGUUAAUCUUCGCGAGUUGAGCUCGAAAUCAAAUCAAUGUCAAAGCCAAUUCACCGUCUUGGCUGUACUCACUCACACCCUUUUAAUUGCCAGAAGAAAGCAAAAGCAAAGAAAUGAAGAUGCGAGGUUUGCUGCUAGUGAAUGGAGAAGAAACUUGAACGUAGAAACGCGUGGAAACAAAGCAGGAUCAAUCGGAUUGGAUCAUAUAUUCUUUCAUCUCGUCCACAGACGCCCCAGAAAAUAUAAAAGAAAAGGAAGUCAGCCUUUCAGCUUCGAGAUAUAUUGGUAAAACAUGUGCAGCAAGGUUGAAUUGCAGCACUAACAACAUGCUAUUCUACAGGCCUUGCAAACUUUAUUCAUAGACCCUCUCAUAGUCUCAUCGAUUUAUCAGCUCACCUUCCUCGCCCCGAAAAACAUCCAACCAUACUUCCCGAAUAACAAAAAUCCCACCAUUCUACCGAGAAAUCAAAUUGAGAAAGAAAUGGGGAAGCCGUCCGUAAAAUCUUCAUGUGAACCCGCCUAGUACCUGUAGUGAGGAGGCUUGUAGGGACCCUCGACGGGGACGCUAAUGUAGUCGGCUUGCUCCUUGCUGAGCUUGGUGAGCUUAGCACCGAGCUUGCCGAGGUGAAGAGCAGCCACCUUCUCAUCCAGGUGCUUGGGCAAGACAUAGACCUCCUUCUUAUACUUGCCAGAGGACUUCUCCUUCCACAGCUCAAGCUGGGCAAUCACCUGGUUCGUGAAGGAGCAGGACAUGACGAAGCUAGGGUGGCCGGUGGCACAACCCAAGUUCAUGAGGCGUCCCUCCGCCAAGACGAUGAUGCCUGACUUGGUGUCGGGGAAGACCCACCUGUCGGUUUGGGGCUUGAUGGUGAUGCGCUUCACACCGGGGAA
rnacentral:lncRNA from 1 species